GAUGAACGCUGGCGGCGUGCCUAAUACAUGCAAGUCGAGCGAACAGACGAGGAGCUUGCUCCUUUGACGUUAGCGGCGGACGGGUGAGUAACACGUGGGUAACCUACCUAUAAGACUGGGAUAACUUCGGGAAACCGGAGCUAAUACCGGAUAAUAUUUCGAACCGCAUGGUUCGAUAGUGAAAGAUGGCUUUGCUAUCACUUAUAGAUGGACCUGCGCCGUAUUGGCUGGUUGGUAAGGUAACGGCUUACCAAGGCAACGAUCCGUAGCCGACCUGAGAGGGUGGUCGGCCACACUGGAACUGAGACGCGGUCCAGACGCCUACGGGAGGCAGCAGUAGGGAAUCGUCCGCAAUGGGCGAAAGCAUGACGGAGCAGGGCCACGCGAGUGAUGGAGGUCUUCGGUGCGUAAAACUCUGUUAUGAGGGAAGAACAAACGUGGAAGGAACUGUGCACGUCGUGACGGUACCUAAUCAGAAAGCCACGGCUAACUACGUG
rnacentral:rRNA from 1 species